rnacentral:rRNA from 1 species
GACGUAGGGCGCGAGCGUUGUCCGGAUUUAUUGGGCGUAAAGAGCUCGUAGGCGGUUUGUUACGUCGUUCGUGAAAACUUGGGGCUCAACUCCAAGCUUGCGGUCGAUACGGGCAGGCUAGAGUUCGGUAGGGGAGACUGGAAUUCCUGGUGUAGCGGUGAAAUGCGCAGAUAUCAGGAGGAACACCGGUGGCGAAGGCGGGUCUCUGGGCCGAUACUGACGCUGAGGAGCGAAAGCGUGGGGAGCGAACAGG